AAAUCCAGUGCCAGUGUUUUAGCCUGACAAGAAAUAAACCUUUGACUAUUCAGGACAUGGCUCUGAGGCAUCCAGUGCAGGGAGGAAACAUGGAACAUUUGAAGGCCCACUGACUGCAUAUGAGAAGACAGCAGAGAAAAGCAGCAACCAUCAUAUGCCUUAAGAAAAUGCUAGCAUUAAACACAGCCAUGUUUUCCUCUAGAAGAUGCACAAGUCCCAAGAAAGACAGUAUGCAACUUGCAUGCAGCUGUGACAGAUUGCUGUAUGUUUCACAAGGAGCUACAGCUUUCUGCAGAGGAGUACAGCAAUGCCUCACUCAGGUGCACAGUAUUAACCUGCUGCCAUGAAGGUGGUCUGGGUAAGAGUGCUAUGUUCUCUUUGAAAAGGAAGAAAAAGCACUGCUAUCAUCUUCCCAGCUUUGGCAGGGCAAAUGCCAAAUUUUUCAACAAAACAAUAAAAAACAACUUUCACCACUACCAA